UUGGUUACAACCAAUUACAUCACUACUUGUACAACUCCAUUACUAACUAAAUAUCCCUAAUAGUUAGCUAAACAAUUGGACCUAUGCUAACCGUUACAUGGACUUUUUCAAAUAAUAAUUCAUAAAACUAAAACUAACAUAUACAUGUAUGUAACUUUCCUCCUCCCUUAAAAAGCCUCUUGUCCUCAAGGUUUUAUUUAUGCUUUACUAGGAUCCCAGACCUUGUAACUUGUGGUUUUGAAAACAAAUUCUAUCACCAUGGUAAGUUUUCUCAUAUCACCAAUAUGAUUAGUUUGAUUUGGAGAAUGGUCCUGUUCGCCUUCAAGAUUGAAGCAUGGAUUGAAAUGUGGUCAUGCAACAACCAUCUUCAUUGCUGCAUAUUUUGGGACAAUAAAUUUAUUCACUUGUGUAAAAGGACCAAAUAAACAAAAAAUACAAUAAAUAAAAACAUACCACUAUUCUUGGGCAAGAAUAAUAGUGUCUACCAGGAUUCUUUUCCGACAUUGAAAAUUUGACUUUUCAUUGCCCGAACCACGACGACAUAUGAACGGAGGCCAUACGGAUGUAGCAGUAGAGAAAUUCGAUGACAUAUUUUCUAUCAACAGGCAAGCAUAAAUAGAGUUAGUGGUUCAACUACAAUAUACACGCUAAGAGGUAAAUAAAUAAUAUUAUCUUUAUUUUAGAAUAAUGGAUAAUUAUAAACAUUAUGAGUGUGAAUAUGGUACAGUUAUUAUAAACAUUGAGAUUUCACAAAGCAAGUACCAUAUUCAUAAUUAAGUACCAUAUUCAUAACUGUACUUAAAGGUGCAAGGAAUGAAUGGCACUCCCUAUAAGCUAUUGUUUGUGGAGUGUGAUAUUAACUCACUGAAGAAUGGCAGCAUAAAUUUCAGGGCUCAGAAUUUGCAGUAUAAACAUUGAAAGGAUGAAAAAUCAAAAAUGGGAACCAUAAUACCCUAAAUUUGGAGAAUGACUAUUGAAAUUAUAAAAUUCUAAAGAAGUUUAUAGGAGAGAAGUUGGGGAAGAAAUUUAAAUUGUUAUUGCAAAAUUAAAAUCCCAAAACAUCAUCUAUAGCUUUUUCUUCAACUGAGAACAAAGCAUAAUGAAAUACACUAACCUACUUACUCUAGCCAUAUUUCCCAAAUAUUCUCAUCUAAAUAGGAUUACUGAUCUAUAAAUAAUAGUUCUGAAAUUCAUAAAUCCUGCAGGUAACAGCUCCUCUGAAUCAUGAAAACAUCUAGUCCAUAUUCAAAUAACAUUUCUUUUCCGGACCAGAUGAGUUGGUUAACUUAAAUCAUAGAAACCAAAAGGAUUUACUAGUUCACUUCCCACAGAAUACCCCACCACAAAAAACAACACAAUCCACCCAAAAAUGAUGCCAACUCUGAGAUUCACUCAGUCCACUUUUCGCCAAUAAUAUACUUUGACAAAGCUAACACCUGUUCACAAUGAAAUUUAUUCCUCUUCCACAAAUUAUUCCUUUCAAUUUCAAUUUUCAAUGUUUAUAUUAUCAAAAUUUGCCAUAAUUUUACCUUUCGAUAUUGUAAAUUCAAUGCUUAUAUAAUCGAAUUUUUUUAGAGAAAAGGGAGAAAAAGCAACUACCCAUUUUCUUAUCAAUUAUAUACAAGUAUUGGAUAUCUCCUUAC
rnacentral:lncRNA from 1 species